UACGGAGGGUGCAAGCGUUAAUCGGAAUUACUGGGCGUAAAGCGUGCGCAGGCGGUUUGUUAAGUCUGUUGUGAAAUCCCCGAGCUCAACUUGGGAAUUGCAAUGGAUACUGGCAGGCUCGAGUAUGGUAGAGGAAGGUGGAAUUCCCGGUGUAGCAGUGAAAUGCGUGGAGAUCGGGAGGAACACCAGUGGCGAAGGCGGCCUUCUGGACCAAUACUGACGCUCAUGCACGAAAGCGUGGGGAGCAAACAGG
rnacentral:rRNA from 1 species